UGUCAUAUGAUGAUGCCCAUGCGUGUCAGCUGAUCUCCAUUUCUGUUCCAGUUCUCUCUAGCUUCCUGACGUUCUGUUAGCUGGCUUUAUGACACUGGAAGCUUUAUGGAAACAUGAUCAUACAUAUGGCUUCCUGAAGACA